GAUGAACGCUGGCGGCGUGCCUAAUACAUGCAAGUCGAGCGAACAGACGAGGAGCUUGCUCCUCUGACGUUAGCGGCGGACGGGUGAGUAACACGUGGAUAACCUACCUAUAAGACUGGGAUAACUUCGGGAAACCGGAGCUAUACCGGAUAAUAUAUUGAACCGCCUGGUUCAAUAGUGAAAGACGGUUUUGCUGUCACUUAUAGAUGGAUCCGCGCCGCAUUAGCUAGUUGGUAAGGUAACGGCUUACCAAGGCGACGAUGCGUAGCCGACCUGAGAGGGUGAUCGGCCACACUGGAACUGAGACACGGUCCAGACUCCUACGGGAGGCAGCAGUAGGGAAUCUUCCGCAAUGGGCGAAAGCCUGACGGAGCAACGCCGCGUGAGUGAUGAAGGUCUUCGGAUCGUAAAACUCUGUUAUUAGGGAAGAACAAAUGUGUAAGUAACUAUGCACGUCUUGACGGUACCUAAUCAGAAAGCCACGGCUAACUACGUG
rnacentral:rRNA from 1 species